AUACGGAGGAUCCGAGCGUUAUCCGGAUUUAUUGGGUUUAAAGGGUGCGCAGGCGGCCGUUUAAGUCAGCGGUUAAAUCGUGAGGCUCAACCCCAUUCUGCCGUUGAUACUGGGUGGCUUGAUUGCGGUCGAGGUUGGCGGAAUUCGUUGUGUAGCGGUGAAAUGCAUAGAUAUGACGAAGAACACCGAUUGCGUAGGCAGCUGACCAGACCGCAAAUGACGCUCAUGCACGAAAGUGCGGGGAUCGAACAGGAUUAGAUACCCUGGUAGUCCGCACAGUAAACGAUGAAUACUUGUUUUCGGCGAUAUAAUGUCGGAGGCAAAGCGAAAGCGAUAAGUAUUCCACCUGGGGAGUACGCCGGCAACGGUGAAACUCAAAUGAAUUGACGGGG
rnacentral:rRNA from 1 species